GAUGAACGCUAGCUAUAGGCUUAACACAUGCAAGUCGAGGGGAAACGGCAUUAUGUGCUUGCACAUUUUGGACGUCGACCGGCGCACGGGUGAGUAUCGCGUAUCCAACCUGCCCUUUACUUGGGGAUACCCCGUUGAAAGACGGCCUAAUACCCGAUGUAAUUCAUUGAUGGCAUCAGAUAUGAAUAAAAGAUUUAUCGGUAAAGGAUGGGGAUGCGUCUGAUUAGCUUGUUGGUGAGGUAACGGCUCACCGAGGCGACGAUCAGUAGGGGUUCUGAGAGGAAGGUCCCCCACAUUGGAACUGAGACACGGUCCAAACUCCUACGGGAGGCAGCAGUGAGGAAUAUUGGUCAAUGGGCGCAAGCCUGAACCAGCCAAGUAGCGUGCAGGAAGACGGCCCUAUGGGUUGUAAACUGCUUUUAUACGAGAAUAAUUUGAUGCACGUGUGCGUUAUUGCAUGUAUCGUAUGAAUAAGGACCGGCUAAUUCCGUG
rnacentral:rRNA from 1 species